UACGUAGGUCGCAAGCGUUGUCCGGAUUUACUGGGCGUAAAGAGCGCGCAGGCGGCUGGUCAAGUCCGAUGUGAAAUCUCCCGGCUCAACUGGGAAACUGCAUCGGAAACUGAUCGGCUUGAAGGUGGGAGAGGGUAGUGGAAUUCCCGGUGUAGUGGUGGAAUGCGUAGAUAUCGGGAGGAAUACCAGUGGCGAAGGCGGUUGCCUGGGGCUUUGCUGACGCUGAUGCGCGAAAGCGUGGGGAGCGAACCGG
rnacentral:rRNA from 1 species